rnacentral:lncRNA from 1 species
GGAGAAGCCAGUCUUGAUACUGUAUUUGAAUGGAAUUUAAAGCUGUUAAAUGCAUAUUAUUGUAUCUUUUUUUGUUUUGCAGUCAGGUUGGUUGGUAAAGUCUAAGAGUUAGUUAAAAUUUGGAAGGGGACUUCCCAAAUGAUAUGGUAGUAUCAAAGAUGAUUCAAAGCAAAGUUGUGGCAUGUCAAUGAUCUACUUAAAUCACACAAGUAUCAGAAGUUACUGAAUAUUUCUAUUUAAAUGGAAGCUGCUGAACACCACAUCAUUUGUGGGGAAUACAAACUGUGUUUUUACAAGCAUUGUUCUAGACUGUCAGCUAAGAAACCCCUCUUACUGUUGACUCCAAAUGUCUUUGUUGCAAUAUUUAUAAACCUCCUCUCAUGUAUCUUUUAAGAAAAUGUGAAUUAGCCAAAUAAUGAAGCUAAAAUUACAAUCUGUUUGAUAGCUGCUUGAAUAGAAAAUCAAAAACUUGCUGCUUUCCAGCCGCACGCUGGAGACUGCCUUCUUUUACCAAAAGGUGCCUGUUUUAUUACUUGUAAAGAUAAAGACUAAUUAAAUACUACACAGCCUUUCAGUAAUUCAAAAGCUCCACUAAUGAGGUGUACCCUCCUGUUGCAGGUGUUACCCACAAACAGGUCUGAAGAAUGAACAGAGCCCUUUGGAAGAGCAGCAUCUUGGCAGCAUGCGGGGCAGGAGGUUUAGGAAAGCCACGAUGAAAUCCAAGCACCUAAGGAACCUAUACAAAAGGAUACCUCAUCCUUCUGGAAACCCGUCAAAAGCUAAUAAGACAAGGACCUUUCUUACUGUCUCGACACAGUCCAGUAUUUCCUGUGUGGGAAUGCAUACAGCCUGAACUAUGGAAGGAACGGAGAAAUUUGUCGAUACUCAGAAAAAAAAGGUAAGGUUUUAUGUCUUAGAAAGUCACAUUUUGCCAUCUCAUAUGCACAGGGAAAAGAGAAGAAAACAGCAAUAUAUCAGAUCUGAAUUUCUUUAUCAGUCAUCAUACCUGAGAAUUAUUUGAUAAUACUGCUCCAAGCACUCAGCAUCCUCACAUUCAUGUUAACCCUUUCUCAGCACCAUUUUUAGUAUACUAGUCCCUUCUUUUUCCUUCCUAGGAAGUUAAGCCAAAAGAGUGAUGCGACCUCUUGUUUUUCAUUAUCAAGCAACUUAUUUAAGACAUGUUUCUGGAUUUUUUUCCAACUUAUUUUUAAAAUUAGUUGAUCAGGAAAGGGGGCACCAUAUGAAAAGAGCAUUAGCAUUUUCUAAGCUAUGACAUUCUGCAUUGUAUAACUUGAAAGGUUGACAGGGCCACUGCACUGCUGAGAAGAUUUUUUUUUUUUUAAUUAAGAGCUGCACCGAGGCCAUCCUCAAACAGAUGCACUGUCCCAAAACCAAGGCAGACAGAGGAAGAGCCUUAGUUGAGGCUGAUCUCUAGACAUGAGAAAUGUCUGAAAAACAAGGAUUUGCAGUUUGAGGUCAUGGAAAUUAGGAGGCUUAUUUUGUUUUCUUCCAUCCAUCUCAUCAGCAGAAAGUCCUUACCACUAGGGAGGGAAAAACAAACCUGAACAUGACAAAGAUUUUACUUCUUUUCAACUGACUGAGGCAAAAAACAUUUCUUCCUCUUCUCUAGCAGGCUGCCUUGCUGACUCAGUGUUGUCCUAACCAUUGUUUUUCCUUGAUGUCAUUCUGUAAGUUUUUUUUUUUGAUGCACAGUUCCUCACAGGAAGCAGCUAUUUGAUUCUUCUGCAGGCUUAAGCACCACAGUUCCUAUGCCAGCUAUUUCUUACUACCUGAGGAUGUGAUUCAGCACUGUACAGAGCAUGCAUUUUCCUUGUACUUGGCUCCCAGGCUUUCUCCAUUUCUUUUAUUUUGGGGCAGGUGAGAGAACAUGCCUUAGGUUACUGGUUAAUACUUGAAGUUAUAGUGAAGUGUGUUGUGGCCUGGCCCCCCACACCAUCAACUGAAAAAAUGCGUCUUCCAUUUCUGGAUGGCUGUUCUCCAAUGAGCUUUCUCAGCAUAAUUCUUCCCAGAUUAAAGUAAUGACUUGCUACAGUGAUUAAAAGUAAGGGGAGUGGUAAAGUGUUCAGUUUUCCAAGUUGACAUCAUGUGUUUCUUUUUAUCUCUAAGCAUUAAAUCUGUGUUGUUUCUUUCUGUAUAUUGACUGACAUAUGGGUUCACAGGUGUGUAAUAUGACUUCUUUCAUGUAUUCAAAAGGCUAAGCCAAAGUCUUUUAAAGUGCAGCCAUGUCCUCAUAUUAGCAAAAAAAUAAAAAAUAAAAUCUUUAGUUCUCCUGAAUUCUA